UUCUAGCCUCGAUUGCAGUGAUAUCUUUUUCUUUGCAAAGGCAUUUGGCGAGGAAAGAAAAACAUAUAACGGAAAGCGGGACUGAGU
rnacentral:sRNA from 1 species